AACGAACGCUGGCGGCAGGCUUAACGCAUGCAAGUCGAACGCAUCGCAAGAUGAGUGGCAGACGGGUGAGUAACGCGUGGGGACAUACCCUUUUCUACGGAAUAGCUCUGGGAAACUGGAAUUAAUACCGUAUACGCCCUACGGGGGAAAGAUUUAUCGGGGAAGGAUUGGCCCGCGUUGGAUUAGCUAGUUGGUGGGGUAAAGGCCUACCAAGGCGACGAUCCAUAGCUGGUCUGAGAGGAUGAUCAGCCACAUUGGGACUGAGACACGGCCCAAACUCCUACGGGAGGCAGCAGUGGGGAAUAUUGGACAAUGGGCGCAAGCCUGAUCCAGCCAUGCCGCGUGAGUGAUGAAGGCCUUAGGGUUGUAAAGCUCUUUCACCGAUGAAGAUAAUGACGGUAGUCGGAGAAGAAGCCCCGGCUAACUUCGUGCCAGCAGCCGCCGUAACAC
rnacentral:rRNA from 1 species